UUCCGGUUGAUCCUGCCGGACCUGACUGCUAUCGGAUUGAUACUAAGCCAUGCGAGUCAUUGUAGUAAUACAAGGCAGACGGCUCAGUAACGCGUAGUCAACCUAACCUAUGGACGGGGAUAACCUCGGGAAACUGAGAAUAAUACCCGAUAGGACAUUAUGCCUGGAAUGGUUUAUGUUUCAAAUAAUUUAUUGCCGUAGGAUGGGACUGCGGCCUAUCAGUUUGUUGGUGAGGUAAUGGCCCACCAAGACUAUUACAGGUACGGGCUCUGAGAGGAGUAGCCCGGAGAUGGGUACUGAGACACGGACCCAGGCCCUAUGGGGCGCAGCAGGCGAGAAAACUUUGCAAUGUGCGAAAGCACGACAAGGUUAAUCCGAGUGGUUUCUGCUAAAGGAACCUUUUGCCAGUCCUAGAAACACUGGUGAAUAAGGGGUGGGCAAGUUCUGGUGUCAGCCGCCGCGGUAAAACCAGCACCUCAAGUGGUCAGGAUGAUUAUUGGGCCUAAAGCAUCCGUAGCCUGCUUUGUUAGUUUUCGGUUAAAUCCAUUCGCUCAACGAAUGGGCUGCCGGGAAUACUGCAAAGCUAGGGAGUGGGAGAGGUAGACGGUACUCGGUAGGAAGGGGUAAAAUCCUUUGAUCUAUUGAUGACCACCUGUGGCGAAGGCGGUCUACCAGAACACGUCCGACGGUGAGGGAUGAAAGCUGGGGGAGCAAACCGGAUUAGAUACCCGGGUAGUCCCAGCUGUAAACUAUGCAAACUCAGUGAUGCAUUGGCUUGAUGCCAAUGCAGUGCUGCAGGGAAGCCGUUAAGUUUGCCGCCUGGGAAGUACGUACGCAAGUAUGAAACUUAAAGGAAUUGGCGGGGCAGCAC
rnacentral:rRNA from 1 species